GUCUUCGUGGUGUAAUGGUCAGCACACUCGGCGCCUAUUCGAGAGGUCUGAGGUUCGAUUCCCGGCGACGGCA
rfam:Stegodyphus mimosarum contig11159, whole genome shotgun sequence.